rnacentral:rRNA from 1 species
AUGCCAGACACCAUCAUUUCAGGUCUGAAGAAAUACAACUGGGGUGCUCUCUCGUUCGACAUCAAGCUCUGUAAAACAAACAACACAUCCAAGUCAGUAAUGCGUGCUCCUGGAGAUGCUCAGGGAUCUUUUAUCGCUGAAGCUAUCAUCGAGCAUGUCGCUUCGGUGCUGUCACUCGAUGCUAAUAGUGUCAGGCAGAAGAAUUUCCACACCUAUGACAGCCUUGUGUUGUUCUAUCCAGAAAGCAUGGACGAAGCUUCUACGUACACAUUGCAUUCUAUCUUUGAUAGGUUGCUCACCACAUCGAGCUACCUGCAUCGAGCCGAAUCCAGCAGGCAGUUCAACAGCUGCAGCAAGUGGCGGAAGCGGGGUAUCUCUUGCGUGCCCCUCGUAUUCAAGGUGGCGCCACGGCCAGCUCCUGGAAGAGUUUCUGUGCUCAACGAUGGUUUCAUUGUGGUUGAGGUUGGAGGCAUUGAGAUUGGGCAAGGGCUGUGGACCAAAGUACAGCAAAUGACAGCUUUCGCUUUGGGACAGCUGUGGUCUGAUGGAUGUGAAUCCCUUCUUGAUAGAGUGCGUGUUCUUCAGGCUGAUACUCUGAACUUGAUCCAAGGUGGGCUCACCGCCGGCAGCACUUCGUCUGAAUCUAACUGUGCAGCAACCCUUGAGGCCUGCAACAUGCUGGUUGACAGACUAAAGCCAGUCAUGGAGAAGCUCAAGCAGCAACCCGACGGUGUUGUUUCAUGGGAUGCUUUGAUUGCUCAGGCCGUUAAGGAUAAUGUUAAUUUGUCCUCAAGUACAUAUUGGGUACCUAGCCAAGAAUCCAGUACCUAUCUGAACUACGGAGCUGGUAUAAGUGAGGUAGAGAUUGAUCUUCUUACAGGAGUCAUUACUUUACUACGGAGCGACCUUGUGUAUGACUGUGGAAAGAGUUUGAACCCUGCAGUGGACUUGGGCCAGAUUGAAGGCUCCUUCAUACAAGGAAUUGGUUUCUUCAUAAACGAAGAACAUGAAACAAAUGCUGAUGGACUAGUCGUGAGCGACAGCACAUGGGUCUACAAGAUCCCGAGUGUCGACACCAUCCCAAAGCAAUUCAAUGCCGAGGUGCUCAACACUGGGUACCAUAAGAAUCGUGUGCUCUCGUCGAAAGCCUCUGGGGAACCUGCCCUGGUUCUCGCAGCAUCCGUCCAUUGUGCAGUGAGAGAAGCCAUCCGGGCAGCGAGGAAGGAGUUUGGAAGCUCAGAGAUCGCGUUCCAGCUUGACGUCCCUGCGCCAAUGACGUGUGUGAAGGAAAUGUGUGGUUUGGACAUCGUGGAUAAGCACCUGGAAAGCCUAUCUGAACAUCAGUCUUGA